AUUGAACGCUGGCGGCAUGCCUUACACAUGCAAGUCGAACGGUAACGCGGGGCAACCUGGCGACGAGUGGCGAACGGGUGAGUAAUGUAUCGGAACGUGCCCAGUUGUGGGGGAUAACUGCUCGAAAGAGCAGCUAAUACCGCAUACGACCUGAGGGUGAAAGCGGGGGAUCGCAAGACCUCGCGCAAUUGGAGCGGCCGAUAUCAGAUUAGGUAGUUGGUGGGGUAAAGGCUCACCAAGCCAACGAUCUGGAGCUGGUCCGAGAGGACGACCAGCCACACUGGGACUGAGACACGGCCCAGACUCCUACGGGAGGCAGCAGUGGGGAAUUUUGGACAAUGGACGCAAGUCUGAUCCAGCCAUGCCGCGUGCGGGAAGAAGGCCUUCGGGUUGUAAACCGCUUUUGUCAGGGAAGAAACGCUCUGGGUUAAUACCUCGGGGUAAUGACGGUACCUGAAGAAUAAGCACCGGCUAACUACGUGCCAGCCGCCGCUGUAAAAC
rnacentral:rRNA from 1 species